rnacentral:lncRNA from 1 species
CAGAGAAGUGACGCACGCUCUCAAACAAACUUCCCCGUGCUGCCUGAGGCCCCGCCCCUCCCCUCCUCCUCGGUACUACAGAGGCAAACUUUCUCUGUCUCACCUUUACUUCACCUCAUGUAGCGACACUGACCAGCGCGUAAAGGACGGAGGGCGUUAAUCCAGCUCAGACUGAAGUUUAGAGAUGAGAACAACAUAAAAAAAAAAUGUUUUAAAAAAAACUACAACACCAAAAAAAAAUCUUCUCUCCAAGCCUGCGCCAUCAUGAAGCUGCGCGUCACCGUCUCUGUGUGGACCCUGCUGGUCCUCUGCGCUCUCACAGAAUCCAAAGAACAGUGUAAUGUAACCUGUGAAAGAGAAAGUUUGCCUUCAGUAACAACAACAACAACCAGCAUCACUUUUCCUCCUCAAGCAAACUGUACCGUAUCAGUCAGAAAUAAGACGUCUGAAAGCCAUUCAACAGUUGAUCUCACCCCUGGAACCGUUUAUCAAUUAUUCUUUCAAUGCUUUAACUGUUGCCUGAAUGUUGCCACCAAACCUGAAGCUGUUACUUCUUUAAAGGCUUCUUCUACAACGUCUUCCAUACUUGUUUGGUGGACUGAACCAGAGGGAAACUGGCUUUACUACAGCGUGAGCUGGAGCAAUGGAACCAGUAUGAAGUCUGACACAGUAGAACACGCCUCUAAAAACAUCACAGACCUGACGGCUGGUAUCGGGUAUGAUAUCAACGUUACUGCGAUGGCUGAUGAUGGAGUUACUGAAGGAGAAUCUGCUCAUUUGCUUUGGUACACAAGUAAGUAAGUCAUCGUUAGUUAGUGUUGUUGUGCUCAACACCACGCUAUCCAAGACCAAGACUUGCCCAAGACCAGAAUGCACCGAGACCAAGACAAGACC